rnacentral:rRNA from 1 species
AUUAAUAAAAUUAUUAAUGUAAUUUUAUAAAAAUAUUUUUAAAUUUAUUAUUGUUAAAGAAAAAUUUUUAUUUAUGAUAGUUAAUUAGUAUAGUGGUAGAAAUUUUAAAUAAUUGAAAAUUUAAAUUUUUAAAAGAAAUUUUAAAUUAAUGUACCUUGUGUCUCAGGGUUUAUUAAAUACAAAUUAUUAAGUUAAUUUUCUCGAUUUUAAAAGAGUUAAGAAAUUAUAUAUUUUAUUGUAAAAUAAAUAUUUUAAAUAAUUUUUUAGUAAUGAAACGUUAAUCGUUUUUAAAUAUAUCUAGUUUUUAAAGAAAUAAAUUUAAUUUAGAUUUUUUAAUAAAUAUUUUUGUAUUAAAAAAAAUAAUUUUUAAAAAAUUUAAUAUUUUAAGGGAUAAGCUUUAAAAUAAAAUUUUAAAAUUAAUAGUUUUAUUAUAAGAAUUGUAGGAUUAGAAAUUUUCAUCAAUUUAAUAUGUUAUAAUUAAUUUAAUUAAUAAUAAAAUUUAUAUAAAAUUUAAUUAAUUAUUUAAAUAGAAUAUUUAAUUAUAAAAUAUUUAUAAUAAUGAUAAAAUAAGUAUAAGUAAAAUAAUGUAAAUAAAUAAAUUAUUUUUUAAGGUUGAAUAAAGGAAUUCGGCAAAAUUAUUCUCGCCUGUUUAUUAAAAACAUGUCUUUUUGAAUUUAAUUUAAAGUCUAACCUGCCCAUUGAAAUUUAAAAGGCCGCAGUAUUUUGACUGUGCAAAGGUAGCAUAAUAAUUAGUUUUUUAAUUGAAAGCUAGAAUGAAUGGUUGAACGAAGAAAAAGCUGUCUCUAUUUAAAUUAUUUAAAAAUUUAUUUUUAAGUGAAAAAGCUUAAAUAUUUUUAAAAGACGAGAAGACCCUAUAGAGUUUUAUAAAAUAUUUUAUAUAAAAAUUUUUGAAUUAAAUAUUUUAAAUAAAUUAUUUUAUUUUGUUGGGGUGAUUAAAAAAUUUAAUAAACUUUUUUUUUAUUAAAUCAUUAAUUUAUGAAAUAUUGAUCCAUUAUAAUGAUUAUAAGAAUAAAUUACCUUAGGGAUAACAGCGUAAUUUCUUUAAAGAGUUCAAAUCGAAAAAGAAGUUUGCGACCUCGAUGUUGGAUUAAAAUUAAUUUUUGGUGUAGAAGCUAAGAAUAUUAGGUCUGUUCGACCUUUAAAAUUUUACAUGAUCUGAGUUUAAACCGGUGUGAGCCAGGUUGGUUUCUAUCUUUAAAAUUUGAUUAUAUUUUAGUACGAAAGGACCAAAUAUAAAUAAAAUUUAUUUUAUUAGAAUAAUAAUAA